rnacentral:rRNA from 1 species
UACGGAGGGUGCAAGCGUUAUCCGGAUUCACUGGGUUUAAAGGGUGCGUAGGAGGGCAGGUAAGUCAGUGGUGAAAUCUUCGAGCUUAACUCGGAAACUGCCGUUGAUACUAUCUAUCUUGAAUACCGUGGAGAUGAGCGGAAUAUGUCAUGUAGCGGUGAAAUGCUUAGAUAUGACAUAGAACACCAAUUGCGAAGGCAGCUCGUUACACGAAUAUUGACUCUGAGGCACGAAAGCGUGGGGAUCAAACAGG